AUUGAACGCUGGCGGAAUGCUUUACACAUGCAAGUCGAACGGCAGCACGGACUUCGGUCUGGUGGCGAGUGGCGAACGGGUGAGUAAUGUAUCGGAACGUGCCCAGUCGUGGGGGAUAACGUAGUGAAAAUUACGCUAAUACCGCAUACGAUCUAUGGAUGAAAGCGGGGGAUCGCAAGACCUCGCGCGAUUGGAGCGGCCGAUAUCAGAUUAGGUAGUUGGUGGGGUAAAGGCCCACCAAGCCAACGAUUUGUAGCUGGUCUGGGAGGACAACCAGCCACACUGGAACUGAGACACGGUCCAGACUCCUACGGGAGGCAGCAGUGGGGAAUUUUGGACAAUGGGCGAAAGCCUGAUCCAGCCAUUCCGCGUGCAGGAUGAAGGCCUUCGGGUUGUAAACUGCUUUUGUACAGAACGAAAAGGUUUCUACUAAUACUAGGAGCUCAUGACGGUACUGUAAGAAUAAGCACCGGCUAACUACGUGCCAGCAGCCGCGGUAA
rnacentral:rRNA from 1 species